rnacentral:rRNA from 1 species
UACGUAGGGAGCAAGCGUUGUCCGGAAUCAUUGGGCGUAAAGCGCGCGUAGGUGGCCACAUAAGUCCGUUGUGAAAGUCAAAGGCUCAACCUUUGAAAGCCGGUGGAUACUGUGUGGCUAGAGUACGGAAGAGGCGAGUGGAAUUCCUGGUGUAGCGGUGGAAUGCGCAGAUAUCAGGAGGAACACCGAUGGCGAAGGCAGCUCGCUGGGACGGUACUGACGCUGAGGCGCGAAAGCGUGGGGAGCAAACAGG